rnacentral:lncRNA from 1 species
CGUGUCCGCCCCAGCGCUUAGAACAGGGCUCGGCACCCGGUGAGCGGUUAAGAGGUAGGCCCCAUGGCUCUUAUUCUUAUCGUCCCAUCCAGGCCGGGCCGGUUAACAAGCAAGGGGACAGCAUCCUGUGCCGCUGAGCCGCCCUCCAGGUGUGCGGCGGCAGAGCCAAAGGAGCCCGGAGAGACAGAUUAGGGGGGGAAGAGGAGGGGGGUGCAAAACAAAACGCAGCCGUCGGAGGGGAGAAGACCUCCCCCCCCCCCCCCCCCGAUCCGGGAGAGGACCCAGGCGAUCCUGCACAUCCAGCAGGAUCCUUCCCACCCCCAUCCUCCGCGUGUCCAUCCUUCCAUCGCCGCCAUUUGGAAAAAUCCGGUCCCGGGAAGGGGAUUUGGGAGAGAGGGGUGGGCAUCUCUGCAGCAGCACGCUGGGACCCAAGAGAGCGCUGGGGGCGGGAAGGGAGGGUAGGCCGGAUCCAGAAGAGUUCCGACUUUCUAAGCGUACUUUUUAAGUGUGACCGAAAAGUCGAUUUUUUUCGAAGCUUUACUAAUCUACCGGAGCGUUGUAGAUAAUUUUGGGGGCGGGGGGGACGCGGGGGGGGGACAUCUAUUGUUUAAAAUAGAUGCUUAUAUCGGGGCUAGGGAGGGAAAUCCUUUCCCUCCGCAAGAAUGUUACAUACUGUAUAGAUUGAGUGACAUUUCAUACUGUGUAUAUAUAGAGAUGUUCUAUAAGUGUGAGGAGAGUAUAUGCUUUAAUAGACUCCUGUAAUUAUAAGAUAUUUUUAAUUAAAUAUUUUUUUUGUAAAUAUUCCACGUGUGCUUUUUUUAAGAUGUGGGAAUAUUUCUUUUGGAAAAUUGUGUUUCAGCUCGGGGACGGGGCGGCCCCGGCGAAAAUACCUUGAAUGUCUUCGGUUUGGUUUGUUUUCGUUUCGCCCAACUCGGAAGUUAACAGUUAUAGCUAGGGGUCCUGCAUGGCUGCAUGAGAUGUUUCAUUGCGAAUAAACUUGUUCUGAGUCGACAAAUGUGUUUCCUUUCAUCUAGACGAAGAUAUCUGUAUCUGUAUCAUACGUUUUGAAAAUAGGCUUUCUCGGUUUACAGACGGGGUUUGUUUUUCUUCCUUUAGCCGAUUAUAUAAGAACGACCUGAGGGAUAAUCCGGUGGGGAGGGGUUGGGGGGGGGGGGGAUUUUAUUUUAUUUUAUUUUUUAACCGAGAACUGAAAAUGGAAUCAAAAUACAUUUUGCGUAUGAGGUGAGGGGGUUAAGCGGUUUGUGAACUCCUCUGUUGCAUCAAAAUGAAAAGAAAUUGCAAUCAAACUUCAUUUCACACUAAAGCUUAAUAUCGCAAGCUUUCAUGUCUGUACAGCAUUAUUCAAUUAUAGAAAUGGAAAAUUGUACUCUGCUUGCAACCAAAGGGCAAACUCUUUCAAAUGAAAAUACUGGUGGUUUUUUUUUUCCUUCCUCCAAAGAAUAUUGAUAGCUGAUGGUGGAAAAAGUGUAAUGGUGAAGUCUUCAAGCAGGGGUAUAAAAAAGAGUUUUCAAAACAUUAAGUAGACCAAAAAAUAAAAAAAACUUACGACCGCAUCGAGAUUAUUUUUUUAUACUAAAUGAUUUUCACUAUGGCUUUGUUAGUUACAGUUAAGAUACUGUGCAAUCUCUCGUGGUGUGUUAACUUUUACAUGUGAACAUUAAAGUAGAUUUAUCUGUCACGGACCGAUUCUUUGGCUUUAUUUUUCUACUCUUAAACUGUUUAUGCGUAGUCUUCUUUCCCUUUUCCCAGUUUCUUCGUUGCCGGAAGGUUUUUUUUGCUUUUUGGGGGGGGGGGGGG